CAAGUCAGAUGUGAAAGCCUUCUGUUCAACGGAAGAAUUGCAUCUGAAACUGCUAAUCUUGAGUAUUGGAGGGGAGAAUGGAACUUCUGGUGGAGCGGUGAAAUGCGUAGAUAUCAGAAGGAACGCCGGCGGCGAAAGCGAUUCUCUGGCCUAUUACUGACACUCAGUGUGCGAAAGCUAGGGGAGCAAACGGGAUUAGAUACCCCGGUAGUCCUAGCCGUAAACGAUGGGCACUAAGUAGAGGGAAUUACCUAUAUUCUCUCUGCCGUAGCUAACGCAUUAAGUGCCCCGCCUGGGGAGUACGGCCGCAAGGCUAAAACUCAAAAGAAUUGACGGGGGCUCGCACAAGCGGUGGAGCAUGUGGCUUAAUUCGAUGCAACGCGAAAAACCUUACCGGGGCUUGACAUGAUAGAAGUAGGAACCUGAAAGGGGGACGAACGGUAUCCAGUCCGUAGCUAUUACAGGUGUUGCAUGGCUGUCGUCAGCCCGUGUCGUGAGACGUUGGGUUAAGUCCCCUAACGAGCGAAACCCUUGUUUUUAGUUACCAGCGGGUUAAGCCGGGUACUCUAGAAAGACUGCCGUCGUCAAGACGGAGGAAGGUGGGGAUGACGUCAAGUCAUCAUGGCCCUUAUGCCCCGGGCUGCACACGUGCUACAAUGGUCGGUACAGACGGAAGCGAAG
rnacentral:rRNA from 1 species